AGAGGGGCAGGAGCUCCUGCAGUUAGGAUGGGAGGAAAAGCCUAACAGCAAGUACAGCUCUUGAGAGCUCCAAAGAGGCGUUCUCAGGCGGCCUUCGAGCGUUCACUUGACUCCGGCCAAGGGUGAGGAGGCUCCUUCCCAGGGUUUCCUGCUGUUCUGGGUACUACCUAACAGAGAUGUUCUUGGAGCUCCACCUUGCCUCCACCCCAGUCAUGCAUCAACCCUCAGGAUCGCCGGAUGGUGGAUUGUUAGCCUGUUCCCCAACUCACCUCUCCCAGAUGGCUGAGAGGCAUAUGAUUUGUCCCCGCCUUCGCACCCGAUCUCCCUCCGAGGC